rnacentral:rRNA from 1 species
GACGAACGCUGGCGGCGUGCUUAACACAUGCAAGUCGAACGGAGCGAAUGAAAGCUUGCUUUUAUGAGCUUAGUGGCAAACGGGUGAGUAACACGUAGACAACCUGCCGAUCAGAUGGGGACAACAUUCCGAAAGGAAUGCUAAUACCGAAUGGCGUGUAGGGGAGGCAUCUUCCCUACAUGAAAGAUGGCCUCUAUAUAUAAGCUAUUACUGAUCGAUGGGUCUGCGUCUGAUUAGCUAGUAGGUAAGGUAACGGCUUACCUAGGCGACGAUCAGUAGCCGGUCUGAGAGGAUGAACGGCCACAUUGGGACUGAGACACGGCCCAGACUCCUACGGGAGGCAGCAGUGGGGAAUCUUCCGCAAUGGGCGCAAGCCUGACGGAGCAACGCCGCGUGAGUGAAGAAGGUCUUCGGAUCGUAAAGCUCUGUUGAAGGGGACGAACGAUCGAGGGGCGAACAGGCUCUCGGUAUGA